UACGGAGGAUCCGAGCGUUAUCCGGAUUUAUUGGGUUUAAAGGGUGCGUAGGCGGCCUUUUAAGUCAGCGGUGAAAGUCUGUGGCUCAACCAUAGAAUUGCCGUUGAAACUGGGAGGCUUGAGUAUGUUUGAGGCAGGCGGAAUGCGUGGUGUAGCGGUGAAAUGCUUAGAUAUCACGCAGAACCCCGAUUGCGAAGGCAGCCUGCCAAGCCAUUACUGACGCUGAUGCACGAAAGCGUGGGGAUCAAACAGG
rnacentral:rRNA from 1 species